CAUAAUUAGCCUGUUAGCAGUCAGCGAUGCUACGUUGACCCUGGAAGGCAUCUGUACUCUCACAGCUCCUCUGUAAUCGGGCUCGUCUGCGUGUUCCUGCAGCAAAGUAACUCUCAGCGCGAUGCUUCCUGACUGUUCAGCCUGCAGUGCAGACAGUUUUCUGCUAUCUAAUCACCACCAACAAGUCAUCAAUCAUGCUGUCCCCACUGUAAUUUGGAAUCAAAGCUCGUGGCGGUCGUGAAGCUUCACGGCGCUCAAACACGCCCCCGUGGCCGUUAAUGAAAAGUGACAGCAUGAGCGGGUGAUGGACCGGGGUCGGCGUGCAGCCGUCCUGCUGAAGCAGCCUCCAAACACGUCAGUCAGAGUCAAACUGAAGGAGGAGACGGCUCAGCAGCCAUCAAUGAGUCCUCGCCACGGACGCUUCAGCUCGGGCGUGUGCAGCGCACUUCCUGAUGUCACGUUUUAAAUGUGUGUGAUGAUUGGACGGGCUUCUUCUCCCAGAGUCCCUCUCAGACCGCUGAGGCCUGGCCUCUCCUCGGCCCUUCGCUCAGUGCCUCCUCACCUCUGCUGAGUCGUUUUAACCACACGUCACAAAGUCGAGUCGCUUUGAGUCACGUUCAGAGAAAAGAGGAGACGACAGGAAGUCGUCGAGUGAGCUUUAGUUUAGUCCAGGUUUCACCUCUCAGGAGGAUUUAACCAUCGUGACGUCCGGUCUGACGGAGACUGAAGCGAGCACAGGGGAGCAGCAGGAAGUCCUCUCAGCUCACAGCGUUUCUCUGCGGGAGACGUCCUCGUUCUCCUUCCUGAUAACCUUUAUCUGAUUCAGACUCAGACGCUGUCAGAUGGAAGCCGUCUGCUCGGUUUAGCAGGAACAUCUACAGACUCUUCAUUUCCACAAUCACACCUGGGCAGCAGGCGCCCUUUGUUACCUUAGUUAGCUUUAAGGAAACAUGGAGGUCUGGGUUAAAUUACACAACAGCGACCUUCGCCAAAGGACACCCGGUGCAGCCACGCCUCUCUGAAUGAACAACAGUAUUCACGGGAAUGCAGAAGACGCCUGUGCGAUCGCCUGCACUGCUGCACUGGAGCUCUGCAGUGACAACAGCCUGUGAACGUCUGAAGGACAGAGUUAGAAAAAGUUUGUUAAACACACAUUUAAUGAACUUUAAGAGUGUUUAGAUUUUUUACACAGGAUGAGCUGAUAUUGGCCUUUUAAUAGGGCUCAAACACAGCUGUCAAUUAACAUUAAUUAAAGAUCUCUGAUUGGCUGAUUUGGAUUUUAGCUGGACAAUCUCUCCUCACAUGUUUUUUUGUUUGUUUUGUGCGACUUGUUGAGCCCCUGAGUCUCCUUUAGCGCCCACAUGAGAAGGAUAACAGGUUUAGCUCCAUCAUCAGUGGGAUUCAUCUUUACAGCCAUACUGGGGGCAGUGAUGCGGCUUCAUCUGGCACAAAGUGCUGGAAAACAACAGCUCCUGAGACGAUCCAGCUGUUUCCAGCUGUGCGGUCCAAUCAAAGGGGUUCAGAGCCGUUCUGUCACAGGGGAACACAAACGCUGCGGCGCCGCUGCGUCCCCACGAGGAACAUCAUGAACAUUCAUAUUUUCCUUCUGUGUCGGCACAAACAACACGUAGCUCAGAGUGCUGUCAAAGCCUCUCUGCAUUAGCGCCUCCUACAGAGCACCUGUGGUUCCUACCUGUGCUGUUUAUGCUGCUGUAACAAUGAUAAUCAGGAACUUCUGAAGCUGCAUGACUUCACAUUAUGUUUCCCUCUUCUAACCAAACCAAAGA